rnacentral:lncRNA from 1 species
CUUCGCAUUUAAUCUCCUCGUCCCACUCCCUAACUUCGAAUUCACAAUAUAUAUCCCACAUUUUUGUUCAAUCCUGAUGAAGCCCGUCAAUUUCAAAACUCAGACACUGAGAAACAUAUCAAUUAGGCAGACUAGAUAAUCUUGCAGUCAAGCUCCCUUCUGUACUAUUUUAACAUGGCAGUGGAGCAACAUCUCCUGUCGACAGAGAUUGUUAAUCGGGGCAUUGAAUCUUCGGGCCCUGAUGCUGGAUCAUUAACAUAUUUCGUCAGGGUUUGUCGUCGCCUACCGGACUUUGUGCAAUCGGUUAACCUCAAGUAUGUGAUAAAUCAUGGGAUUUAUUUGGCCACCAUACUGCUGCUGGUGCUCAUUUUCAACGCAGAGGUGGGCAGCCUCAGCAUGGCGGAGUUGUGGCGGAUUAUCUCAAACACUGCUCGCUAUGAUCUUGCCACCGUGAUGGCAUUUCUUGGCAUCUUUGUGUUUAUGUAGGAUAAUUUAUUACUUUAAAUCACUGUUAUCUUUAUAUUGGAUCAUCAAGAAAUACAUAACUUAUAGCGGAAGCGUACCUGAAUCAAAUAUGAUUAAUGCAAUAAUGAAUUUCGCGAUUUUUGUCUUACAAA